rnacentral:rRNA from 1 species
UAAAUUGGGGCGGUAAAAGCGGUGCGCAUGGCCGGUUUUUGUUAAGAUCUGUUCGGGAAAAAGACCCCGGGGACUCAAACCCGGAGAACUUGCGAAGGGAGAACUGGCAAGCACAUGAAAUCGGGCUGAAGGGGGGGUAGAAUUCCACGUGUAGCAGUGAAAUGCGUAGAGAUGUGGAGGAACACCGAUGGGCGAAGGGCAGCCCCCCUGGGUCAAGAUUGACAACUCAUGACACGAAAAGAGUGAGGAGCAUACAGGAUUAGAUACCCUGGUAGUCCACGCCAUAAAACGUUGUCUACUAGUUGUCGGGUUUUAAUUAAACUUGGUAACGCAGCUAACGCGUGAAGUAGACCGCCUGGGGAGUACGGUCACAAGAUUAAAACUCAAAGGAAUUGACGGGGACCCGCACAAGCGGUGGAUGAUGUGGAUUAAUUCGAUACAACGCGAAAAACCUUACCUACCCUUGACAUGGAAGGAAUCCGGAAGAGAUAUGGGAGUGCCCGAAAGGGAACCAUCACACAGGUGCUGCAUGGCUGUCGUCAGCUCGUGUCGUGAGAUGUUGGGUUAAGUCCCGCAACGAGCGCAACCCUUGUCAUUAGUUGGUACGCAAGAGCACUCUAAUGAGACUGCCGGUGACAAACCGGAGGAAGGUGGGGAUGACGUCAAGUCCUCAUGGCCCUUAUGGGUAGGGCUUCACACGUCAUACAAUGGUACAUACAGAGGGCCGCCAACCCGCGAGGGGGAGCUAAUCCCAGAAAGUGUAUCGUAGUCCGGAUUGUAGUCUGCAACUAGACUACAUGAAGUUGGAAUCGAUAGUAAUCGCGGAUCAGCAUGCCGCGGUGAAUACGUUCCCGGGUCUUGUACACACCGCCCGUCACACCAUGGGAGCGGGUUUUACCAGAAGUAGGUAGCUAAACAGCAAGGAAAGUGCUUACACACGUUCGAUACGUGAAAAAU